UACGUAGGGUGCAAGCGUUAAUCGGAAUUACUGGGCGUAAAGCGUGCGCAGGCGGUUUUGUAAGUCUGUCGUGAAAUCCCCGGGCUCAACCUGGGAAUUGCGGUGGAGACUGCAAGGCUAGAAUCUGGCAGAGGGGGGUAGAAUUCCACGUGUAGCAGUGAAAUGCGUAGAGAUGUGGAGGAACACCGAUGGCGAAGGCAGCCCCCUGGGUCAAGAUUGACGCUCAUGCACGAAAGCGUGGGGAGCAAACAGG
rnacentral:rRNA from 1 species